rnacentral:lncRNA from 1 species
CUUAAGGAAGGUAUGGCACAGAGGUCUCACAUGUAUGGAGCUGGAUUCUGAAUUUGCAUCCUGGUUCAUUAAGAGUUUUGUGGGGUUUUUCUUUUCCUUGUUUAUUUUUGAGACAGGGUCUUGCUCUGUUGCCCAGUCUAGAGUGUAGUGGUACGAUCAUGGCUCACUGAAGCCUUAACCUCCUUCUGCCUCAACCUCCCAAGUAGCUGGGACUAUAGGCUUGCACCACCCAGCCGGCUAAUUUUUCUCUUUUUCUGUAGAGAUGAGGUUUUGCCAUGUUGCCCAGGCUGCGAUCCUCCUGCCUUAGCCUCCCAAAGUGCUGAGAUUACAGGUGUGAGCUCCACCAUGACUGGCCCUGGAGAUGGAUUCUGAAUUUGCAUUUAAGCUCAUUGAGAGCUUAGCGGGACCAGUAUCUCGUUUCCUCUGUGGCUGAGCCGGCUGAGCUGAUAAUGGGGAUCAGAUUGAUGGAAGCCACACCCGCCCUGCCCCAGCCUGCAUUUCCUUUUUCAAAUGAGAGAACCGAUCAGAGGACGCUUAGGAGAUGCUGGACUGUUGCGGGAGUUCUGAGGUCCUCAGGAGGCCACACUCCAGUUCCCAGACCUGGGUGAACAGCACGAGGCCCAGAGAGGGAAAGGAACGGCCUGAGGUCACACAGCAGAAUGUCAGCUCCUCAAGAGCAGGAACACUGCUGUUUUGCUCCUCCUGUACCCCCAGUGCCCCCAAAGGGCCUGGUUCAUAGCAGGUGCUCCAGGAACAUUUGCUGGAUGAGAGAACGCUGCAUAGCGGGCGGGCAUGGUGGAGCCGGACCGCCUGGGUUUGAAUCCUGGCUCUGCCCCUUCCAAGCUGGGUAGCUCCAGGCAAGUGACUUGGCUUCUCUGAGCCCCAGGUGCCUCCUCUAGGCUGGGGAGAAUAAGGGAUUCCCAUCCCGGAGGGCUGCCAGGCAGGAGGAAGGGAGUGAAGACAUCGCCAGGACACAGAACAAGGCUGGGCACACAGUGAGUGCUGGGAAAUGGUAUCUGACUCUUGUGAUGGUCCUGGUCCCUCAGCCAAGUGCGAGGACAGCAUGUCCCCCACUCCUACCCUGUGGGCCGGGAGAUGAAGAGGGGCCCAGAAGAGGUGUUUGGGUCUAGGGAAUGUGCUCACAGUCUCCAAUCAUGAGGGCAACAGAGUCGUCACCCACAGCCGCCUCUCCGGCCCAGCCCUUUCCCUCCUCAAUGCGCUCCUCAUCCCUUGAGGAUUCAGGAUCAAGGUCAUAGCUCACCCCUGCCUCUGGAGAAACCUAAGAAGGGAGGGGCUCACUGCCACCAGCUGGCCUUCACCCUGCUGGACAUGGCCUGGGACCCCCAGCUCCAGGGCUCAGAGCUGUGCAGACCCUGACAGUUCAAGCUCUCACCAACUGGUGGCCAGCAGGACAGGAGGAGCAAGCUCCAGACCUCCCCUCUAACCACCAGUGCUUGGCUCCCCCUGCCCUUAGGGCUCUGCAAAAGCUGUUCCCUCUGCUCGGCUCUCCCCUGGCUGACUCCCAUGCCGGGAGCAAGAGAAUGAGGGAGCCAAGGACACUGCGCCUGAGACACAAGACACGCAGACCCGGGUUUGAGGUCGGGCUCUGCUGGUUCCAACUGUGCUGCCUAGGGCAGCGACCUGGCCUCUCUGGGCCUCCAUCUCCAUAUUCCCACCGCUCCCAACUCUCCCCACCUCCCCCAGGCUGAGCCUCCACUUACUUUUCUUCCGCUUUGGCUUUUUGGGGACCUGCUCCCAAGGCUUCCUGCAACAGAAAGAGGCAGAGAGGGUGAACGGGGGACCAGCGCUGGGCCUGUCUGACCCAUGAGUAACAACAGUGGCUAGAGCCACUGCUCAUUGUACACUGAAACUAAAUCUGAACUUUUUGAGAUGGAGUCUCACUGUGUUGCCCAGGCUAGAGUGCAGUGGUGAGAUCUUGACUCAUUGCAGCCUUUGCCUCCCAGGUUCCAGCGAUUCUCCUGCCUCAGCCUCUCAAGUAGCUGGGAUUACAGGUGCACGCCACCACACCUGGCUAAUUUUUGUAUGUUUAGUAGAGACGGAGUUUCACCAUGUUGGCCAGGCUGGUCUCGAACUCCUGACCUCAGGUGAUCCGCCCACCUCAGCCUCCCAAAGUGCUGGUAUUACAGGCAUGAGCCGCCACGCCUGCCCUGAACUUUUUUUUCUUUUUGAGACAAUGUCUGUCUCUGUUGCCUAGGCUGGAGUGCAGUGGUGCGAUCUCGGUUCACUGCAACCUCCGCCUCCCAGGUUCAAGUGAUUCUCCUGCCUCAGACUCCUGAAUAGCUGGGAUUACAGACUAAUUUUGUAUUUUUAGUAGAGACGGGGUUUCACCAUGUUGGCCAUCCUGGUCUCAAGCUUCUGACCUCAGGUGAUCCGCCCACCUCGGCCUCCCAAAGUGUUGGGAUUACAGGCGUGAGCCACCGUGCCCAGCCUAGAAUCUGAACUUCUAUGUACCUUUCCCCAACUCCAGAACUGUGUCACCAGGCCCCUCCCUUGGACUCUCUCCCCAAUUGCCAUCAGCCCUGGGAGGGGGCUCUAGCAUCAUCCACCUCAAGGAGCAGGAAAAACAGGCUUGGAGGGGUGAGGCCAUCUGCCCUGGGUCCCACAGUCAGGGAGCAGAGAAGUAACAAAGUGGGUAUGAAAAGUUUGUGUGGAAGCAGAAUUCCAAGAUGGCCCCCACAGUUCUGCUGGGACACAUGCCCUGUGUGAUCCUCUUCCCCUGAGCGGGGCAGGCCUGUGAGUAGGACUGGAUGUCAAGCCUUGGUUAGGUGACUGUGAGUUAAUCAAACGGGAACAUAUCUUGUAGGGCACAGUGGCUCAAGCCUGUAGUCCCAGCUACUUGAGAGGCUGAGAGUGGUCUUGGCCCACAGCCAGCAAGACAGUGGGUACUGUCUGGGUGUGGUGUCUCACACCUGUAAUUCUAGCACUUUGGGAGGCUGAGGCAGGAGGACUGCUUGAAGCCAGGGGUUCAAGACCAGCCUGGGCAACAUAGCAAGAUCCCA